UGUUUUUCAGCGAGGAAUGAAACUGCAGCGACUCCAGACUCAGAUCUCCUGAAUGAAGUGACUCCAGAUCUCCAGCAUUCAGUAGAUCAGCUCUGGUGGCUUUUGGCUGUUUUCAUCAUUGUUCUUCUCAUCAUCUUCUUGAUCUGUUUGUUGAAGCGUAAAAGGGUCUUCAGGUGAGUCCUGAUCAAUCUUAAAGAAUCAUUCCAUUCGUUAAAUCUCACUCUAUAUUUCAUCAUGAAUCACAUUUCCCUUUAUCUUCAGAUUACUGAACCUAUCAGUCCGAAUAAACUCAAACUCUGUGCUGGAUGUGAUAAUAUGUAAUAAUCAGAUUCAAUCUGUUGUCAGAUGUUUUCAGGGGUUCAUCUGUCAGCGUGACGAUGAUGAUGCAGAAAACAGGGAUCUUGAAGCUGUUGUCCAAAUGAAGCUCAGAUCGGAUGCUCCUGAUUCACUGAAUCAGUCUGAAUCUGAACUAAACGGCUCCUUGUCCAGAGGGUGAUGGGUUUGAAUCGACUCAUUAUUUACUCAAACUCAGGGCUUAACGUUACUGUGAUCUUUGACAUGAUGAUGAAGGGAUUUUGUGUUCGUUCUGAGCUUCUCGACACAUUUAUUCUCAUUCAUCUGCAUCUGUAAUGCAAAUAAAUACACGAGAUGGAAAACACUGGAAGAUCAAUUCAACCAGAUUUUGACAAGUUACCACAAGUGUUGUUUUAUUUAUUUUGUUCAUCAUU